UACGUAGGGUCCAAGCGUUGUCCGGAUUUAUUGGGCGUAAAGAGCUCGUAGGCGGUUCGGUAAGUCGGAUGUGAAAACUCAGGGCUCAACCCGGAGACGCCAUCCGAUACUGCUGUGACUUGAGUCUGGUAGGGGAUCACGGAAUACCUGGUGUAGCGGUGAAAUGCGCAGAUAUCAGGUGGAACACCGAUGGCGAAGGCAGUGAUCUGGGCCAGUACUGACGCUGAGGAGCGAAAGCGUGGGGAGCAAACAGG
rnacentral:rRNA from 2 species